GUUUCAGCCGCCGCGGUAAUACGUAGGGUGCGAGCGUUAUCCGGAAUUAUUGGGCGUAAAGAGCUCGUAGGCGGUUUGUCGCGUCUGUCGUGAAAGUCCGGGGCUUAACCCCGGAUCUGCGGUGGGUACGGGCAGACUAGAGUGCAGUAGGGGAGACUGGAAUUCCUGGUGUAGCGGUGGAAUGCGCAGAUAUCAGGAGGAACACCGAUGGCGAAGGCAGGUCUCUGGGCUGUAACUGACGCUGAGGAGCGAAAGCAUGGGGAGCGAACAGGAUUAGAUACCCUGGUAGUCCAUGCCGUAAACGUUGGGCACUAGGUGUGGGGACCAUUCCACGGUUUCCGCGCUGCAGCUAACGCAUUAAGUGCCCCGCCUGGGGAGUACGGCCGCAAGGCUAAAACUCAAAGGAAUUGACGGGGGCCCGCACAAGCGGCGGAGCAUGCGGAUUAAUUCGAUGCAACGCGAAGAACCUUACCAAGGCUUGACAUGUUCUCGAUCGCCGUAGAGAUACGGUUUCCCCUUUGGGGCGGGUUCACAGGUGGUGCAUGGUUGUCGUCAGCUCGUGUCGUGAGAUGUUGGGUUAAGUCCCGCAACGAGCGCAACCCUCGUUCCAUGUUGCCAGCACGUCGUGGUGGGGACUCAUGGGAGACUGCCGGGGUCAACUCGGAGGAAGGUGAGGACGACGUCAAAUCAUCAUGCCCCUUAUGUCUUGGGCUUCACGCAUGCUACAAUGGCCGGUACAAUGGGUUGCGAUACUGUGAGGUGGAGCUAAUCCCAAAAAGCCGGUCUCAGUUCGGAUUGGGGUCUGCAACUCGACCCCAUGAAGUCGGAGUCGCUAGUAAUCGCAGAUCAGCAACGCUGCGGUGAAUACGUUCCCGGGCCUUGUACACACCGCCCGUCAAAC
rnacentral:rRNA from 1 species